UUGAGGGCUCUGAUGAUAUUGUCAACCUUACUGCCUGUAUCAAAUUCAAUAAUUACCAAAAAAGGUAAAGGGAAAGGAAAAGGGAAAGAAAAAGGAAGAAAAGGAAACGUGAUGAAAAUGAUGACGAUUAUGAGCCUCUUAAAACCAAUGCAUUUCCUAACAGAGAUUUGUUAAAAAUAGUUGCCGAUGGAACAAAUUUAAUUAAUUAUGCAAAAAAGGUAAAAAAACGCCAAGUGACCAACAUCCAACCGUAUUUAAUUUUAGUAAAAGGACAAGAUACUGAAACUUUUUUUAUCGAAGGCGACAAUUGGCUAAUAAAUGUUAAACAAAACAGUACACCGAUUGCAGCUUUCAACUUGUUGUACAAACUCUUUUAUGUUUUAAAUCUGAAGUACCCAGAUAAUUUGCAAAAUUUUUAUAAUUUCAUUGAUUGUUAUAUUUUUGCAAUGAAAGAUGUGCAACCAAGAUCCAGCGUAUCAGCGUUACAUCAGCGUAUGUCGUUUUUAACAAUACUCCAUUAAAUAAUGCUGCGGAUGAUUCAUCCUCUGAUUAGUUUGGAAAAAGUUAAAGGCACUAUGUUCACUGUUUAAAAAAAUAUUUUAGUACAUCGUACUUUCUAAUUUAUGCCUUCGUUUUCAUUUUACAGUUAUAAUUAUAGCUUAAUUUAUAAUCACGUUUUCAUUAUCAAUUACUUUUGGUAUAUUCAUAAAAAAAGUAUAAUUUUAAUAAUUAU